rnacentral:rRNA from 1 species
GUUAAGUCGACCGCCUGGGGAGUACGGCCGCAAGGUUAAAACUCAAAUGAAUUGACGGGGGCCCGCACAAGCGGUGGAGCAUGUGGUUUAAUUCGAUGCAACGCGAAGAACCUUACCUGGUCUUGACAUCCACAGAACUUUCCAGAGAUGGAUUGGUGCCUUCGGGAACUGUGAGACAGGUGCUGCAUGGCUGUCGUCAGCUCGUGUUGUGAAAUGUUGGGUUAAGUCCCGCAACGAGCGCAACCCUUAUCCUUUGUUGCCAGCGGUCCGGCCGGGAACUCAAAGGAGACUGCCAGUGAUAAACUGGAGGAAGGUGGGGAUGACGUCAAGUCAUCAUGGCCCUUACGACCAGGGCUACACACGUGCUACAAUGGCGCAUACAAAGAGAAGCGACCUCGCGAGAGCAAGCGGACCUCAUAAAGUGCGUCGUAGUCCGGAUUGGAGUCUGCAACUCGACUCCAUGAAGUCGGAAUCGCUAGUAAUCGUGGAUCAGAAUGCCACGGUGAAUACGUUCCCGGGCCUUGUACACACCGCCCGUCACACCAUGGGAGUGGGUUGCAAAAGAAGUAGGUAGCUUAACCUUCGGGAGGGCGCUUACCACUUUGUGAUUCAUGACUGGGGUGAAGUCGUAACAAGGUAACCGUAGGGGAACCUGCGGUUGGAUCACCUCCUUACCUUAAAGAAGC